rnacentral:rRNA from 1 species
UACGUAGGGACCGAGCGUUGUCCGGAAUCAUUGGGCGUAAAGAGCGUGUAGGCGGUUCGGUAAGUCUGUCGUGAAAUCCUGAGGCUCAACCUCGGGCGUGCGAUGGAUACUGCCGGGCUAGAGGGUGGUAGAGGCGAGUGGAAUUCCCGGUGUAGCGGUGAAAUGCGCAGAUAUCGGGAGGAACACCAGUAGCGAAGGCGGCUCGCUGGGCCACACCUGACGCUGAGACGCGAAAGCUAGGGGAGCGAACAGG